rnacentral:rRNA from 1 species
AUGUGGAUUGGGGAUCGAAUCUACUCCUUCUGUGGAUAUCCCUGUCUACUCUUCCUUAUCCGUUGGGUUGACCAAGCUGCCUACGUGGCAUGUUUGCAUGCGGUUGAGCCACCAGGAGCUCCUGCUAAUUUGCAUUAUUUGCUUAAAUCUAACAGCAGUUCUAGCAGUGUAAUUUUCCUGUUUUACACCCUGUUAAUUACUGCAUUUUCUGUUGAGAGUAACAUUCCAGAAAAUAUGUGGUUAUUGUAUGUGGCAUGUUCAAUGUGUUUGCUUUUUAGCGAUUCCUAUAACAUGUCCUACUAG